rnacentral:rRNA from 1 species
CAGUAGCCGCGGUAAAACGUAGGUGGCAAGCGUUGUCCGGAAUUAUUGGGCGUAAAGGGCUCGCAGGCGGUUUCUUAAGUCUGAUGUGAAAGCCCCCGGCUCAACCGGGGAGGGUCAUUGGAAACUGGGAAACUUGAGUGCAGAAGAGGAGAGUGGAAUUCCACGUGUAGCGGUGAAAUGCGUAGAGAUGUGGAGGAACACCAGUGGCGAAGGCGACUCUCUGGUCUGUAACUGACGCUGAGGCUCAAAAGCGUGGGGAGCAAACAGGAUUAGAUACCCCUGUAGUCCCUGUCUCUUAUAA